rnacentral:rRNA from 1 species
UUAAAGGAAUUGACGGGGCCCGCACAAGCGGUGGAGCAUGUGGUUUAAUUCGAUGCAACGCGAAGAACCUUACCAGGUCUUGACAUCCCCUGACCAACCCGAGAGAUCGGGCGUUCCCCCUUCGGGGGGACAGGGUGACAGGUGGUGCAUGGUUGUCGUCAGCUCGUGUCGUGAGAUGUUGGGUUAAGUCCCGCAACGAGCGCAACCCUCGACCUUAGUUGCCAGCAUUCAGUUGGGCACUCUAAGGUGACUGCCGGCUAAAAGUCGGAGGAAGGUGGGGAUGACGUCAAAUCAUCAUGCCCCUUAUGACCUGGGCUACACACGUGCUACAAUGGGCGGUACAAAGGGUCGCGAACCCGCGAGGGGGAGCCAAUCCCAAAAAGCCGCUCUCAGUUCGGAUUGGAGUCUGCAACUCGACUCCAUGAAGCCGGAAUCGCUAGUAAUCGUGGAUCAGCAUGCCACGGUCGAAUACGUUCCCGGGCCUU